CCAUGACUCCCACUGGACAGUAUAUAAACAGAGACCAAGAGCAAUGCUCUAAUCUGCACAUCUGGUAAGACGUCAUCACCUGGAUCCUGGAUCUGCCUUCAGCUGGAGAGUCUUACUCAGGAUCUUCAUCCUGAAAUCAGACUUUUGUUAGAGUCUGGACCUGACCUUCAGCUAAGAAACUUCCUACCACUGCCCUCUGCCUCUACAACCUACCCACCAAGAGAAAACAAAACAGAUGAAAAGAAAAAGAAAAAAUAUAUGGCUAUGGAAACUGAGGUGUAACAAACAGCUUUAUUUGUAAAUGUUGAUUGCAAUGAGUCACUAGUUUGGUUUGAGGCCCCUAGCUUCUUCUACAUUCACUGUCAUUAGGACAACACAGCAACCAACAGAUUGGGAAAAGAUCUUUACCAAUCCUACAUCUGAUACAGGGCUAAUAUCCAAAAUGUACAAAGAAUUCAAGAGAGCCAAAUAACCCUAUUAAAAAAUGGGCUAAGCAAAGAAUUCUCAGCUAAGGAAUAUAGAAUGGCUGAGAAGUACCUAAAGAAAUGCUCAACAUCCUUAGUCAUCAGGGAAAUGCAAACCAAAACAACCCGGAGAUUUCACCUUACACCAGUCAGAAUGGCUAAGAUAAAAAACUCAGGUGACAAGAGAUGCUGGCUACAAUGUGGAAAAAGAGGAACACUCCUCCAUUGUUGGUGGGAUUGCAAACUGGUACAACCACUCUGGAAAUCAGUCUGGAGGUUCCUCAGAAAAUUGGAUAUUCCACUACCUGAGGACCCAGCUAUACCUCUCCUGGGCAUAUACCCAAAAGAUGCUCCAACAUACAACAAAGACACAUGCUCCACUAAGUUCAUAGCAGCCUUAUUUAUAAGAGCCAGAAGCUGGAAAGAACCAAGAUGCCCUUCAACAGAGGAAUUCAUACACAAAAUGUGGUACAUCUACACAGUGGAAUAUUACUCAGCUAUCAAAAACAAUGACUUUAUUCACAGGCAAAUGGAUUGAACUAGAAAAUAUCCUGAAUGAGGUAACCCAAUCACAGAAAAACAUAUGGUAUCCACUCACUGAUAAGUGAAUAUUAGCCUAAAAGCUGGAAUUACCCAAGAUGCAAUACACAGACAACAUGAAGCUCAAGAAGGAUGAAUAAAAUGUGGAUGCUUCACACCUUCUUAAAAGGGGGAACAAAAAUAUUCAUAGGAGGAGAUACAGAGGCAAAGUUUGGAGCAGAGACUGAAGGAACAGCCAUUCAGAGCCUGCCCCACAUGUGCAGGCUCUCUCUCUCUCUCUCUCUAUAUAUAUAUAUAUAUAUAUAGAGAGAGAGAGAGAGAGAGACAGACAGACAGACAGACAGUCACCAAGACUUAAUAACUUAAUAAGAUUGAUGAAGCUAAGAAGUGCAUGCUGACAGGAACUGGAUAUAGAUCUCUCCUGAGAGACACAGCCAGAGUAUGUCAAAUACAGAGGCGAAUGCUAGCAGCAAACCACUGAACUGAGAACAGGACCCCCAGUGGGAAGAAUUAGAGAAAGGAUUGAAAGAGCUGAAGGGGCUUGCAACGUCAUAAGAACAACAAUGCCAAACAACCA